rnacentral:lncRNA from 1 species
UGGUGUCAUUGGCUAUUCACAACAAGGCUACUAAGUUUGAUUGCACAUUCCUUUGGUCCUUAGCUAUUCAGAUUCUUGCUGUGUAUGUUGAUUUCAAUAGGUUCAAGUUUGCUGUUUGAAGUAGAAUGCACCUAGAUGGAAUCUAUCGAUUUUGAUAGAAAAGAAGAAGUCCUAUGUGAUUUGCAAGACUGAGUUCAGAAAG